GGGAAUUUAGCUCAGUAGGUAGAGCACGUGCUUGAAGCGCACGGUGUCGUAGGUUCAAAUCCUUCAGUUCCCA
rnacentral:tRNA from 1 species